rnacentral:lncRNA from 1 species
UUCAGAUGUUUAUAAUUAGAGCUUUAUUCCUUUGGCACAAAUCAGAUAGCUUUGUGUGGAGUUAAGUUGCCUGGUAGAGCUAAUAGAUAAAGCCAUUGUCAGUCAUUUUUAGGAGUUAAAGUAAAUGAGUCUAUCGUGUCUUUUCCUGAGGGAGAGUUUUACUGAAGGGAUUAUAAAGGAAGAAGUGGGCGUAGGAACCUGAAACACCCCUCUCCCCAGAAUAAGCUGGAUCAAAAGCAUGAACCUGAGGUAACGUGGGACAAAAGCAAAAACGGGGAGAUGAAGAAAGACACAUUUUCCCCACCUCACAAUUUUGCUAGGCUUGGCUGGAUCUUGACCUAUCUUGUCGAUUCCCAGGUCAAACUCUGCUGCCUCGGUUUACUCACAGAAGAAGAACAAGAUUCAGAACAGAAACCACAAGCCUGGUUCCUCAGCAGAGCCAAUCUGGAGAAUAGGAAGGAAGCAUCUAGGGAUGGGGGACGGAGGUUGACUGGUGCCAAAGUGCGUCGGGCUGGAUGGGAGAGAGCAACAAAAGAAGCGUCUGUAGCCUCGGCAGUCAGAGAGCAUGUUGUCAGUCCGGAUGGGCUUGGCUUGGAGAUGUGUCAGGCUGGCUGCGGGGGGAGAGCAUGGCAGCCAGACGUAUGGAAGCUCAACGGCAUGCAGUCUUCUGGAAACAGAAAAUCGCACGCAGGUAUGUCUAAUAAAGACACAGUACUUUAUUUUAAAAACACUCAUAUGUUGCAAAAAAUACAUAGAAAAAUAAAGUUUGGCUGGGGUGCUUGACUGAACUUCAAGUCACAGGCUUUUAUGUUAGAGAUCAGAGCAGAGCGUGUUACGCAUGUGGAGAACCCAAACUAAUGUCUUCAACAAGAUAGAAACAGGCUGGCGGGGUGAAGUGGUCCGAGACACCCUCCAGCUCACCUGUCAGACACCGACAUACUUGUUCUUCAAAUGUUGUUUCACCAGUUCAGAUAUGGGUGAGUGACCAGUUCCAAUAGGAGAAAAGCAGGAUGGAUUCACGAACCAAAUAACUUUAAACAAAGACUUUUUUUUUUUUUUUUUUUUUUUGCAACACAAUAUACCUCACAGUAAAAUGUUGAACACUUGCAGAACUGCAGGCUGAAAGAAUUAAAGUCUGAGGGUGGGAGCCGCGGGCACUGAGCAGAGGAGUGCCGAAUGCUUAUCUGAAAAGCCCUGUGAAAAGGAGCAAGCAGUUCAGGCUUCUCUGCCUUCGGUGCCGCUAGUGCUGUUGGCAGCAGAGCAUUUAACAGUAUUUCAGCGUGGAGCCCCAACCAUAGAAAAUGGGGAGAAACGGGCCAACUUUCUAUCCACUUUGGCAGUUUUGCCACCAACAGUGAAUUGGCCCUUUUAACAGGAGGAAAUUGAAAGGUUUCUCACGAAACAGAAUUAAGUAGUGGGAUCAAGAGAUUUCCAGGCCUCAGGGCACCUCAUUCUAACUGGCUUUUUUUAUUCUGACGUCUUCUCUCUACCAGGUCACCUGAGAGCAGGAUGAAAACAGAAGGGUGGCCACCUUCCUCCUUUGCCCUCUUCUCAUUCCCUCUGAAGUCACAAGUGACUCAUUUUGGGGACCCAUUUUUUAUCGGCGUUAAACACAGUGGCCAAAGUAUCUGGACAGUUGCAUCGUUUGGUGACGGAAGCCACAAAAACGUUGUUUUGGAAACUGUUUCCUUUUCCUUAGCCUUUUCCUGUGAAGGGCUAUCAGCCCGUCAGCUUGCUCAGGGGCCGGGCUCUGCAAGGCCUAGGGGCUUUUUCCCCAGGCCCC